UGUCUGGUUUAACAUAUAUGAAGUUAAUGUGAAAGAUUGUAAAUUUUUUUAAGGCAAAAUUUGCUGGCCAGGAAA
rnacentral:tRNA from 1 species